AUGUUUCCGAAGAAAGGGCCCAAUCCCUACGGCCAGCCGCCGCAGUAUGGGGCGCAGCAACCGUACGGCAAAAUUCCUGUUAGCGUUGGGUAUGCGGCAUCUGCUGCAGCAGCUGGUGGCACUGAUGGCCAUCAGUUUGGCGGCAAUGCGGCACAGGGCGCUGUGGGGCAGUAUGGAGGGCCUUACGCUGCAGUUUAUGGCGCGCAGAAGGUUGGUGGACUUGCUAGCAAAGGUCCAAGUUCUUCUGGUCUUCCCAACCUGCAAGCUCAUCAAACAUCACUCUCUGAGUCAUCGAAGUUCUCAUCUGGAGCUGUAGGGUCCAGCCUGGGAAGGCCAAAUGAUGACUAUCUAGCUUCUCGUGCAUAUGUCCCAAAGCUAGAGCAGUACAGUACGCAUUAUGAAUUGGAGAGAAGGAUGUACGGUGAACAGUCAGCUAAUUUUGGCAGGAGAGAUGGCUUCAAUGAUUUGGAUAGAAGAUACCCCGAUCAUAUUCCUGGAAGCCAUCAGGUUUCAUCGACACGACAUCAGCAACUCCUAAAAACUCCACCGCAGCCUGUCUCUGACAUACGACAAGCCGAUUACUUUGCAGGAAGGACCGCCGGUCCAGUCCAUCAAGGUUCCCAGGAAGUUAGUGCAUAUGGAAGAGUUGAAGCCGAUCAUCACAGCUUGUCAAUUGCUGGAUCUGUUCCAUAUGGCGGCCAACAACAAGCUUCAAUCUUGGGGGGAACUCAGAGGACAAACAUGGACAGCCUUGUCUAUGGACAAGGGUCAUCCGGCAGUGGUUACGUGAUGGGCCUACCCCCUGGACGCGACUAUGCUUCAGGGAAGAGCUUGCUGCAUCCAUCUUCAGAGUCUGAUUACCGAGAUAGCAUCUUACCUCGUGUACAUCCAAGCAUCCCCAUGGUUGAUGAGCGAACAAGAGACAGGGUUGGUUAUCGCCGCGAACUGGAUCUAAGAGAUGAGGAGCAUAGAAGGGGCCUUUUGUGGGAAAGAGAAAAGGAAAGGGAACGGGAACGCGAACAAGAGCUACGAAACCAUGAAAUGGAAAGAGAGCAAGACAGGGAGCGGGAGCACCAACGACUAAGAGAGCGUGAAAGGGAAAGGGGACGCGAACGAGAAAGAGUACGUCUUCGUGAGCGCCGGGAGAAUGAGAGGGAGCGGGAUAGGAAGCAUGUGGCUAUUCCAAGGCGGGAGCACACUCCUCCGAGGACACCUGGUGAAAGGCGGCGUUCUUCUUCUGUUAGACCUGAGAAGCCUUUGCGGCGGCUUUCGCCUCGACGUGAUGUCCUGCAUAGGCCUCGUUCACCUGUUAAACAACUAAAGAGAGAAUAUAUUUGCAAGGUCUUUCCAUUUCGCUUGGUGGAUGCUGAGAGGGACUACUUAUCUUUGACAAAGCGAUAUCCUAGACUAGUGAUUUCUCCAGAUGUUUCUAAGGUUGUCUUGAACUGGCCAAAAGGAAACCUUAAUCUUUCAAUGCGCACACCAGUCAGUUUGGAGCAUGACAUCCAUGAAGUGGAUGAUAAGACCAAUGAAAGAACAGUUUUAUCUUCAGAGAAAUCGUACAGCACCGGUACUCCAGACACUGUUUGGAACGUAAAGGUUCUCUUGAUGAGUGGUAUGAGCAACGGUGCCUUCGCUGAUAUAUGUUCGUUGAGAAGUGCCGAGGAACGAAUAGCGCACUGGAACAAUGUCUUGAAAUUUGCUGUAUUUAAGAAGGAUCAUGCACUUAUUACAAUUGGAGGUCCUUGGAGUGCAGCAAUAGAUGGUGGAGAUCCAUUGAUUGACUGUUCGUGCUUGGUGCGAACUGCUAUCAGAUGCACUAAAGAACUGGUUCAGAUUGAUCUAUCUAAUUGCACACACUGGAAUCAUUUCCUCGAGGUCCAUUACAACAGAAUUGGCAAAGAUGGACUCUUUAGUCAUAAAGAGAUUACCGUACUGUUUGUGCCAAACCUGUCAGAAUGCAUACCUUUGGUAGAGUUAUGGAAGAAAACCUGGAUUACAUACAGAAAUUCAAAAGUAGACAGGGAGAAACUGGCUAUAAAGAGUGAAAAUGCCCCUUGUGAUACAAAGGAACAGAAGGAAGGAGCAGAUGAUGGUCAUAUGAGGGAGGGGGAUAUUUGCAAGGAUGCUAUCAAAAUUGAGAAAGUUGAUACUAAAAUGGAUGAGCAGGGCAAAGAUGGGGAGGCAAAGUUUGCUGAGAAUGAAGGGAAACCACUUGAUAACGCUGUGGAACAUAAUAAGAAGGGUGGGGACGUUCAAGGAAAUACCUCAGGCGACGCCUCCGUUCACCAUGCAGUUGAGGAUAAAAAGCCCACGCGAAGGAAAGUAAUAAGGAAGGUUAUCAGAAAAGUUGUUCGUGAAAAGCCAACUGCUGAAACUUCAAUUGACAAAUCAUCUCAGGUGGACAAGGCUGUGGUGGCAGAAACCACAAACAAAACUGUGGAAGAGCAGGUUGAACAAACAACCGAGGAUGUUAGUAAAGAAAAGGAUGGAACUGGCAUUAAUCUGCAACCUGAGACCAAUAGAACUGGGAAGAAGAAAGUAAUUCGAAGGAUUAUUAAGAGAAAAGUUCCUGCUUCAGGAUCCAAGUUGAUUACACCUGCUGUACCUGCAGAAACAAGUAAACAAGGAGGGGAAGUUAAACAAGAAAAGAAUGAUGAAAGCUUGACUGAUGCUGGAAAUUCUCAGAUUAAGCUGGCAGAACGGUCGAAGAUUGCUGCUGAAAAGAUUUCAGAUCCGAAGAAAGAAGAAAAGGCAGAUAAGGCCCAUCUAUGUACCGAGGAUAAAAAAUCAAAUGGAGAUAAGGUUAGUGAACAGGAAGGUGUGAAUGGAGAUGAUGUGAAUAAAGAGGGGGGAAAUGGAACGAAUGAUAAGCCAAAGGAUGGUAAAGAGAAAAAGAUUAGGGACCUGAAGAAGGAUCCAAAGCAAAAGUCACUUAACGACGCCAAAGAGAAGAAGAAAUCUGAUGAACCUCCUAAACAUCCAGGAUUCAUUCUGCAGACAAAGAAGAGUAAAGAGUCUAAACUCCGUCCAAUAUCCCUUUCAUUGGAUGGCCUACUAGACUAUACAACCAAUGACACAGAGGAAUCUGUUUUUGAGCUUUCGCUGUUUGCUGAGUCGUUCAGUGAAAUGCUUCAAUUCAGAAUGGGCUGCAUUAUCCUGUCUUUUCUUGAGAAACUACACAAGCACUAUGUUACAAAGAAGAACCGACGUAAGCGCACAAGAGAGGAUGAUCUAACGAAGGAAGGCACAAAAUCAUCAGAAAAGAGAUCAAAGACAACUGAAGCAGCAGAGAAGAUGGAGGAUGAAGAUCCUGACUAUGAAGAAGAUCCUGAGGAGGUAGAAAUAUAUGAAGACGAUGAGGACAUGGAUGGUGAUACUGCUGAGCAACAGGAUGGUAAUUUGAACAGUAGAGAGGUCAAAUUAGAAGAAGUAACAAAAGAAGAUAAACUGAACCAGAAAGCAGGGAAGGAGAUCGAAUUAGAAAAUGUUGCCUGUAUAGAUGAAAAGCCUGUUACUAUAGCAGAGAAAGGAGGUUUGGUAGAAGUUGGCGAUAAGGCAGCUGUAUCACCGAAAGGAGAUUCAGCAAAACAUGAAGUAGUUGAUAAGGACCUGUUGCAGGCUUUUCGCUACUUUGACAAGAGCAGAGUGGGCUAUAUCAAGGCAGAAGAUCUAAGGUGCAUUGUUCACAACCUGGGGAAGUUCUUGUCUAAUAGGGACGUGGAGGACUUGGUGGAGGCCGCGCUUGAUGAGAGCAAUUCGGCAAGGGAUAAUCGUGUUAUCUAUACAAAGCUUGUGAAGAUAGUGGAUCUCUGA
rnacentral:rRNA from 1 species